rnacentral:lncRNA from 1 species
CUCAGUUCUGCUAUGAAUAAACUUACUUGAAAAACAAGGUUACAGUGGCUCACUGGAGUUCAGUGCAAGGUGCAAGCCAUGGGCAAAUGGGUGUGGUUCAUGCCUUUAACCAGUUAAGUUUGCCUCUCAACAGAUCUCUAAAGCUACAUUGCCAUUGAGGUCAGAGUUAGUUUAAAUCUAGCUUAACUGCAUUGAUAAAAAUUGCAGUUGCUUCUUGUACAGUGGUGUAAACUCAGUAUUGGUCAGGCAAUAUCCACAACUUUUUUUUUUUCUUUUUUUUCUUUUUUUUUGUCUAGGCCACUCCUCUCUCUUCAGCUGAAAUGAGCAAUUGAUCUUGUUAUCUGUUCUGCCACUAAGAGAUACAACACAAGUUGCACAGUGUCUGCUCCUUCUGUUGGUGUUGUGGUUUCCUGUGCCUAAGUCCCCCAUUUCUUCAUUACACUGGCUGUAUAGGCAUUAGCCUUCUCUAACAGCCUUUCUGCACCAUGUCAUUCAGUAAUGGCUAGUAAUGCAAAGAGAUCUGGAAAAUCUGCUCACUGCGGACCCUGUAAGAGUUUCUGGUUUUCAGACUACACAAAGCAUUAAUGGUCUUCUAAGGAUGGAAGGAAGGAUUUCAUUGCAGAUGCUCCCAUGGAAAUUGUUAUCACUCUUCUAAUCUAGUUGUUCUUCCGUACAGUCUUGUACACAGACUUUUUCAGCAAGCACUAGGAUCAGCUGAGAAUUUGGUAUACAGCUCAUUUUGCCCAUGCAAGUUAUGCAUUUCACCAACUGGACAAGGCUAUUUCUCAACUCAGAGAAUCCAAUGUGCACCUGAACCCCUUUAUGACACAUACAAUAUGAAGAGC